UCUUCCGCAAUGGACGAAAAACUGACGGAGCAACGCCGCGUGAGUGAUGAGGGUUUUCGGAUCGUAAAACUCUGUUGUUAGGGAAGAACAAAUACCGUUCUAAUAGGGCGGCACCUUGACGGUACCUAACCAGAAAGCGACGGCUAACUACGUGCCAGCAGCCGCGGUAAUACGUAGGUGGCAAGCGUUGUCCGGAAUUAUUUGGCGUAAAGCGCGCGCAGGCGGGUUCUUAAGUCUGAUGUGAAAGCCCCCGGCUCAACCGGGGAGGGUCAUUGGAAACUGGGGAACUUGAGUGCAGAAGAGGAGAGUGGAAUUCCACGUGUAGCGGUGAAAUGCGUAGAGAUGUGGAGGAACACCAGUGGCGAAGGCGACUCUCUGGUCUGUAACUGACGCUGAGGCGCGAAAGCGUGGGGAGCGAACAG
rnacentral:rRNA from 1 species